rnacentral:rRNA from 1 species
UAGGGAAUCUUCGGCAAUGGACGAAAGUCUGACCGAGCAACGCCGCGUGAGUGAAGAAGGUUGUCGGAUCGUAAAACUCUGUUGUUAGAGAAGAACAAGGACGUUAGUAACUGAACGUCCCCUGACGGUAUCUAACCAGAAAGCCACGGCUAACUACGUGCCAGCAGCCGCGGUAAUACGUAGGUGGCAAGCGUUGUCCGGAUUUAUUGGGCAUAAAGCGAGCGCAGGCGGUUUCUUAAGUCUGAUGUGAAAGCCCCCGGCUCAACCGGGGAGGGGCUUUGGAAGCUGGGAGAGUUGGGUGCAGAAGGGGGGGGUGGAACUUCAGGUGUAGCGGUGCAAUGCGAUGAUAUUAGGAAGAACACCAGUGGCGAAGGCGGCUCUCUGGACUAUUACUGACGCUGAGGCUCGAAAGCGUGGGGAGCAAACAGG